ACUUCGUACACUAUCGUGUAAAGUGUACACUUUGGCGUUCUUCUUGUCGGAAAUGACGUAGAGUUGUGCGAUUACACUGGAUUACACGCUGUUCGUCUUGAAAAGUGGAUCACACUUUUAUGACGAAUUUUACACUGGUUUACACGAGCCUGAGAGGUGGUGUACGCAGUGUAAAGUUACACUAAGAGGUUAUAGUUUUCCACGAUUGCUUCCUAAUUUUAUUUUUUACAAUGGAAGAAGUCGUAUAAGUGCCUAAAACGGCAAUAGUAUUUCGAAAUGCCGAUGAAUCAAUAAUUAUUGAUGAAGAAGGUUACAUAACAUGCCAAACCGACAGUGGGCUAACUUUUAAAAUACACACUUCCGAAAUAGAUUUGAAUGGUCCACCCAUUACAUGUACUUUGGAUAACGAAAAAGUUUUAAUAGUAUUAACAUCUACACACAGAACAAUAGACACACCGGACACUAACAUUUCCAAUCAAGAAAAUCAGAAGCCAAACGUCAUUCAACACAAUUUUGAAAUUUUUACAUGAAAUGAUGCGAAUACCAAACUAUUUUUAUCACUCUACAAGGAGAAGAAAGAAUUAGUUAGUUCUAGAAGAAUUAAAAAUUUUAAAGAAAUGUGGAAGCGUAUAAGCGACGAGAUGAGAAACUCGGGAUACGACGUGACUCCUAUACAAGUGGAAAAUAAAUGGAAGACUUUAGAAAGACAAUAUAAAAAAGUUAUUUCCAAUAAUAAUAAGACAGGAAGAGGGCGGAUUACCUGUAGUUACCAAACGUUUACGUAUAGCUAAAAUUGAAAUAAUAAUAAAUCAUAAUAAAUUGAUGCUUUAUUUUUACUUACAUGCUUUUACAGGGAACUGACAGAAAUUUUGGGAAAGAGCCACAAAAUAGUUCCACUUGCUGUGGCGGGUCCGGAAAUAAGAGUAAUGGUCCGAAAUAGUAUAUCAGAUCUCAGGACUUUAUUGAAUAACAGUGCGCCGAUUUUAAUGCCAGUAUCGACAACAAUUGUAUUACCAACCACAUCAAACGUAGAAAAAAGAGAGGAACCUGAAGAUAUGCCUGUGG